rnacentral:tRNA from 1 species
AGUUCGGUGGUACAUGGAUUAAUACAUCGCAUUCCAAUGCGAAGACGAGUGGUUCGAUUCCACCCCGGUCUC